ACAACGGCCCUUUUCAGGGCCACAAUUGAUGAAUUAAUUUUUUUAG
rfam:Aedes aegypti strain Liverpool supercont1.2 genomic scaffold, whole genome shotgun sequence.